AAGAAUUCAAUAUAAGCAAAAUAUUAUACGGAAACCAUGUAGUAGACCAAGAAGAGAAUUAACAACUCCAAAGACACUUAUAAAGAUGGCCACAGAGAUUAGAAAGCUCUGAGUUACAACUCUAAUGCUAGACCAAUACUAUUAUGUCAUUAAUGCGACAAAAGAAUUCAAUAUAAGCAAAAUAUUAUACGGAAACCAUGUAGUAGACCAAGAAGAGAAUUAACAACUCCAAAGACACUUAUAAAGAUGGCCACAGAGAUUAGAAAGCUCUGAGUUACAACUCUAAUGCUAGACCAAUACUAUUAUGUCAUUAAUGCGACAAAGUUGUAGAUCACAAACUAAUUCUCAUCUGGUGCACGUCUCAGAAUCAGAUUCACCAUUUAUCUCUGCAUUAGUUAUUAAGAGUUCUGUUAUUUUCAUUUCUAAAUGCAGUUUUAAGCUUUUAUAAAAUUCUGUGAUUUAAAGCUCAAACAUAAACAAUUUGAAGGACCUCAACCCAAACCCACUAAAUCUGGUGCAUUCCCAACUAAAACUUUUCAAAAAGUAGAGCAGCUGAGACCACAGUUUAGUAGAUGUCAAUAGGAAAGACCAGGAACAUGAUCCCUCUCUCACAGCACCUGUGGUGGACCACAGAAGAGUGCGGGAUGGACACCUAUGCCAAUUCAUGAUUUUUGCAAUUCUAAAUGAAAUACUGUAAUAGCAACGAAUCCAAAAUCAUAAUUCUUAAUGAAAUGGUAUCAAACUAAUGUUUCCAUGUGCACAUACAGAUAUGAAUUUCAAAAAAUAAAGACUGGACAGAGUAAAAAAUGUUAAAAUUUGCAAUAUACCAAAACCAACAUUGGAUUUAAUUAUGUUAUAGAGAUUACACAUCAAUAAAACCAAUCAAUCAAAAUAUCAAGACUUUCACAGACACUAUCUUAUCCUGAUAUCAAAAUAUCAAUGAGAUCUAAAUUAGCUUCCAAGUAAGCAGAAGCAAUCAUCCGAGAUUGAACCUGUUGCCUCUGCAAAUUGGCAACCACUUGGGUGGCAUCUCUACGUGCCUCCAAACCUAGCUUUGGAAGAGAGACAAUGAGAAGAUGCAGGGUGUUCUCUUUGAAAAACUCCUGUGUCAAUUGUGCACAAGCCUCAGCAACAGGCUCAGAAUCACUACUACCGUAAAGAAUUAGCUUUAGCUCUCGAAUGUGUUUAUUUAAUUCAUCCGUCUUCUCUUCCCGCUUGGAGCCGCGAUGCUCACCGCUGCCAUUGAGGGAAAGGAGAAGGGUCCGAGUUUGCCUGAC
rnacentral:misc_RNA from 1 species